rnacentral:rRNA from 1 species
UACGUAGGGGGCAAGCGUUGUCCGGAUUCAUUGGGCGUAAAGAGCGUGUAGGCGGCCAGGUAGGUCGGUUGUGAAAACUGGAGGCUCAACCUUCAGAGGUCGACCGAAACCAUCUGGCUAGAGUCCGGGAGAGGAGAGUGGAAUUCCUGGUGUAGCGGUGAAAUGCGCAGAUAUCAGGAAGAACACCCGUGGCGAAAGCGGCUCUCUGGAACGGUACUGACGCUGAGACUCGAAAGCAUGGGGAGCAAACAGG